rnacentral:rRNA from 1 species
UGGGGAAUCUUGCGCAAUGGGCGAAAGCCUGACGCGGCAACGCCGCGUGCGGGACGACGGCCUUCGGGUUGUAAACCGCUUUCAGCAGGAACGAUGAUGACGGUACCUGCAGAAGAAGCUCCGGCCAACUACGUGCCAGCAGCCGCGGUAAUACGUAGGGAGCAAGCGUUGUCCGGAUUUAUUGGGCGUAAAGAGCUCGUAGGCGGUUCGGUAAGUCGGGUGUGAAAACCCCAGGCUCAACCUGGGGACGCCACUCGAUACUGCUGUGACUUGAGUCUGGUAGGGGAGCACGGAAUUCCUGGUGUAGCGGUGAAAUGCACAGAUAUCAGGAGGAACACCGGUGGCGAAGGCGGUGCUCUGGGCCAGUACUGACGCUGAGGAGCGAAAGCGUGGGGAGCGAACAGG